rnacentral:rRNA from 1 species
UACGUAGGGUGCGAGCGUUAAUCGGAAUUACUGGGCGUAAAGCGUGCGCAGGCGGUUCGUCGUGUCCGAUGUGAAAGCCCCGGGCUCAACCUGGGAAUUGCAUUCGAGACUGCAUUGCUGGAGUACGGAAGAGGAAGGCGGAAUUCCUGGUGUAGCGGUGAAAUGCGCAGAUAUCAGGAGGAACACCGGUGGCGAAGGCGGUUCUCUGGGCCUUACCUGACGCUGAGGAGCGAAAGCGUGGGGAGCAAACAGG